rnacentral:rRNA from 1 species
CGGAAUGCGGGGUGCUAUACAUGCAAGUCGAACGCUUCUUUCCUCCCGAGUGCUUGCACUCAAUUGGAAAGAGGAGUGGCGGACGGGUGAGUAACACGUGGGUAACCUACCCAUCAGAGGGGGAUAACACUUGGAAACAGGUGCUAAUACCGCAUAACAGUUUAUGCCGCAUGGCAUAAGAGUGAAAGGCGCUUUCGGGUGUCGCUGAUGGAUGGACCCGCGGUGCAUUAGCUAGUUGGUGAGGUAACGGCUCACCAAGGCCACGAUGCAUAGCCGACCUGAGAGGGUGAUCGGCCACACUGGGACUGAGACACGGCCCAGACUCCUACGGGAGGCAGCAGUAGGGAAUCUUCGGCAAUGGACGAAAGUCUGACCGAGCAACGCCGCGUGAGUGAAGAAGGUUUUCGGAUCGUAAAACUCUGUUGUUAGAGAAGAACAAGGACGUUAGUAACUGAACGUCCCCUGACGGUAUCUAACCAGAAAGCCACGGCUAACUACGUGCCAGCAGCCGCGGUAAUACGUAGGUGGCAAGCGUUGUCCGGAUUUAUUGGGCGUAAAGCGAGCGCAGGCGGUUUCUUAAGUCUGAUGUGAAAGCCCCCGGCUCAACCGGGGAGGGUCAUUGGAAACUGGGAGACUUGAGUGCAGAAGAGGAGAGUGGAAUUCCAUGUGUAGCGGUGAAAUGCGUAGAUAUAUGGAGGAACACCAGUGGCGAAGGCGGCUCUCUGGUCUGUAACUGACGCUGAGGCUCGAAAGCGUGGGGAGCAAACAGGAUUAGAUACCCUGGUAGUCCACGCCGUAAACGAUGAGUGCUAAGUGUUGGAGGGUUUCCGCCCUUCAGUGCUGCAGCAAACGCAUUAAGCACUCCGCCUGGGGAGUACGACCGCAAGGUUGAAACUCAAAGGAAUUGACGGGGGCCCGCACAAGCGGUGGAGCAUGUGGUUUAAUUCGAAGCAACGCGAAGAACCUUACCAGGUCUUGACAUCCUUUGACCACUCUAGAGAUAGAGCUUUCCCUUCGGGGACAAAGUGACAGGUGGUGCAUGGUUGUCGUCAGCUCGUGUCGUGAGAUGUUGGGUUAAGUCCCGCAACGAGCGCAACCCUUAUUGUAGUGCAUCAUUAGUGGGGCACCUCUAGCGAGACUGCGUGACAACGGAGAGGUGGGGGAUGACGUCAUCAUCAUGGCCCUAAUGACUGGCUACCCACGUGCUACAAUGGGAAGUACAACCGAGUCGCC